AUGAAUCAACAAAAAAGGAGUUGAAGUAGUCUAGUCAGAGCAGCAAAAAUUCAGAUCGACAUGUUGAGUUUCCUGGUGCGCAGCUCGAGUUUGACACUCUAGAAAACACAGACACGACGCUCGCCGUGACGAAGAACUCCCGAGUCGUCUUGACCUUUUAUAUCAACACAGACAAGUGCAACAAAAGUUCCAGUAGUAAUAGCUUCGUCAUCCAAUUGUCCAAAGUGCAGUCUGCUGCAAACACGACCGAGAAUUUGCUGGUGUGUGACAUCCUGCUGCAGCAGCAGAAUUGCACCGUGCGUUACGGAGCGUCGUUCUGUCGCUGCAGGAGUCACAUCAAAGGCAUCGUCCAGUUCAGCCAACCGUUCAACGACUCCCAUGACAGCGAGCACGUGUGGAGCUGGACAGAACAGGGGAAAUUGCAGGAGAGAAAAGUCAGGUUCCAUAUCGUAUUCGGCGAGCAGAGCGGCGUGAGUUUCCUCAUGCUGGCAGUGGGCAUGGUCGUCACCUUCGUCGCUAGCGUCGUCUUCACUUCCGUAAUUGCUGUGUGCAUCGUGAAAUAUCGCAAGGGUUACCAAAAGUACGAGCCGCUAAUGAAAGACCAAAUCAAUUACCCUGGGUACGAUGCGAUCGUCUGCCCUGGCGAUGGUGGGUCAGGAGUAGAAUAUAACGACUAUGAGGAGGUUGAGUCAGCUUUUCUGGUGAUCGGGACAAACAAUGUCUGCGAUGACAGAAAUCCGUACCUCCCACGUCGAUAAGGAUGUGCUUUUGGGUGUGAAUGUGAAUUUUUCGUCCAGUAAAACAACUUUAAGCAGCAUUGUCUGAGCUUCUGCUGAUCUACCCCAAUGUGCUGACAAGCCAGAUUUUCUACCUCCUUCUUUACCUUCAGAAGCACCACUUCUAGAACACUCAUAGGCAUCCAUUUAUGAGUAAAGGAAAGAAGACCGAAUGAAAAAAUGAACUUUUUGAUCAGACCAAUUCAUGGAGUGGUUUAUCAAACAUAUUCAAAUUCCAUAAAUGCUGUCUCUUUUUAUAUGUAAAAUUGAAUGAUUUAAAAAAAAUGUAAAUAUGACCCAAUUCACAAAUUAAAAAAAAAAAA
rnacentral:misc_RNA from 1 species